rnacentral:misc_RNA from 1 species
GAAAUAAAUGAAAACCUUAUUCAUUUGUCAUAAACCUGUUCAAUACUAAAAAAAUAAAAUACAAUGUUAAUUGUUUUCUCAUUAAGAAGAACUCUCCUGAUAAUGAUACUUAAUUAACAGUAUCUCCAUUUCAAUGAGUUUAUCAUUUGGCAUCCAAAAGAACUUAAUUUUUCUUUUCCCUUUACCUUUUGGAGCUGCAGUGGGAGCUAAUGUUAACGAGGACGUUUCAAGAACACAUACCAAACAACUUGAAUCUGAAGCCAGGGAAUUAUUUCUUCCAUUCCGCUGCUUCUGCACACGCAAGGAUGUAAGUUCUGCCAUGUGUCCUUGUUCAUUCUCAUUCACAUUCUCUCCUCAUAUAACGAAUUGUUUUGUAUAGAUGCUUGACCUCAUCAUUUAUCUUUCCUGCAGAUAAGAUGUAAAGAAGUUGUAGUUGAGGAUGUUGAUGUAUCCAAAGCAAUAAUAGAUUAUGCUGCUUCUCAUAUAAUAGAAACUUUGAUACUGGGGGCAACAACAAGGGGAGGCCUAAUUGUCAGGUAUCUAUUCAAAUAGAAACAAUCAAGAACAUAGAUAAAUGGAGAAACAUCCAGACUGAACCCUUUAAACUGCUCUUAUCUAAAUAGCAGAUUCAAUUUUUUUUUUUUUUAAUAAACAUAUAAUGCCAUACCUCAAUUCUGGUAACAUUAAUAAGCAACUCUAUCUGAAAGUGGUGUUCUGAUGUGACUAUGCAAAUACUAAUUAUAUCCUUUUGCCACAGAAAAUUGAAGACAACAGACAUCCCAAUCACUGUGUCAAAAGCUGCACCGGACUUCUGCACAGUAUAUGUCAUCAGCAAAGGAAAGGUUCAUUCUGUACGGUCUGCUAGUGCUCCACCACCUCCAAAACCUCCACUUCAAAUUCAGUUGCCUAACAAACCCAGCUAUAUCCCUGCUUCGCCUGAUGUACAUCAAAGGACUGGCCGAACUCCCCAUGGUUUGUUUUUUGUAUCUAGCAUCACGCUUCUUUCCACUAUAACUGGGUUUUGUCAUUGCUCACAUGAGUUUUAUCAAUCUCUUUUGCAGUGUCUGAGAGGUCAUCAUAUAUGUCAAAUAGCAUCCAAGAAGAUUCAGAAAUGAUCAAGUAAGUUCAACAGAAAAGGGUUAUCAACAAUUUGUAGUAUCUAAUCUCUAAACUCAUAAAUACUUCUUGUUUUCUUCCAUCAAUGACAUUUCAGCAUGUUUGUUUAUAAAAUGAAGCCCAGAUGAGAGGACUAACCUGAAAACAAUUGGAACAGGUCCCCAUUCAUUAGAAAUAGUGGUUCAAUGGGAAAAUCAUAUAACCAUUACCCACCAGAAAUGGAUGUAUCAUAUGCAAGCAGUGUUAGGCCAACGAGCAAACGCAUGUUUCCAUCUUUCCAUGACCACUCAGAAUCUGUAAUGAGCCCCCAGUAUGCAAUGGGCAAUGACUAUGAUGAUAGAAGCUUUGGGUCAAUGUACUCGGCAAGCACGUCAAUAGAUAUGGAUUCACAAUAUAAUUACUCAUGCAGCUCACAGGACACUGGGCAAACGUCAUGGCAUUCACACAACAUGGUAAGGACACUGGACAAAGUCACAGAGAAGGGCAUAAACACCCAUCAAUAUACUACAAUUUUGUUUUAUACAUAUUUAAGGAAAUACUUGCAAUUAAUUAUGUAUGCUAAUCAAUACUUAAUCAGAUUGAAGAUAAAACUAAUGCUUCCAUCAUUCAAAAUUUAUAGAAUGAUGGGGAAUCUGAGAUAAGGAGACUCAGACUAGAGCUGAAGCAAACAAUGGACAUGUACAAUUCAGCAUGCAGGGAGGCACUCUCAGCAAAACAGAAGGUACCAAUAAAAUCAAUUAUAUGUUACACAUUCACAAAUACAAAGAACUUUGUCGUUGGGAAACAAUUACUAAUAAUGAAAUUAUAUUCUAAUAAAAUCUCCUCAGACUAGGGAAUAUCAAUAUCAGAAUUUAAAAGAACAUAGAUUUGAUGAGGCACAAAUAGCAGAGGAAGCUGCAUUGGCACUAGUCGAGAAGGAGAAAGCAAAGUGUAAUGCAGCGAUUGAAGCCGCUCAAGCUGCUCAAAAACUUGCUGAAAUGGAAGCACAAAAAAGAAUGAGUUUAGAAAUGAAAGCUCUCAAAGACUCUGAGGAGACAAAGGCAAGGGAAUCUUGGGUGCCAAGUGAUCUUAGGUAUCGAAGAUACACAAUUGAGGAGAUUGAAACGGCAACAAAAGACUUCUCAGACUCUCUGAAGAUUGGGGAAGGAGGUUAUGGCCCAGUUUACAGGUGUUACCUGGAUCAUACAGAAGUUGCAGUUAAAGUUCUACGUGCAGAUGCAGCUCAAGGAAAGUCACAGUUUCAGCAAGAGGUAUGAAACUGUCCAUGAACUUAGACUUUCUUCAAAAUGACAGACAUUUUAAUCUCAAUUAUAACAUCCAACAAAUCUAUUGCAGGUUGAAGUAUUAUCCUGCAUUCGGCAUCCAAACAUGGUUCUCCUCCUUGGAGCUUGCCCAGAGUACGGUUGUCUGGUGUAUGAACACAUGGCUAAUGGCAGCUUAGAUGAUCGUCUCUUCAGGCGAGGAAAUACCCCACCUCUUCCUUGGCAAGUAAGAUUCAGAAUUGCUGCAGAGAUUGCCACAGGCCUUCUUUUUCUCCACCAAACCAAACCAGAACCUCUGGUGCAUCGUGACCUAAAACCUGGCAAUAUUUUGCUCGACCGUAAUUUCGUCAGCAAGAUUAGUGAUGUUGGCUUGGCAAGACUUGUCCCCCCAUCUGUAGCUGAUAGUGUUACCCAAUAUCGCAUGACAUCAGCAGCAGGAACAUUCUGUUACAUUGAUCCAGAAUAUCAGCAAACUGGAAUGCUAGGAACAAAAUCUGAUAUUUACUCACUUGGUAUCAUGCUUCUACAAAUGAUAACCGCAAAGUCACCAAUGGGUUUAGCUCAUCUAGUUGAAAGUUUAAUAGAGGAUGGAACUUUUGUUGAGGUACUUGACCCAACUGUUCCUGAAUGGCCCUUAGAGGAUACCUUGAAAUUUGCCAAACUAGCUCUUCAAUGUGCAGAACUAAGAAAAAAAGACAGACCAGAUCUUGGGAAGGUCAUUUUGCCUGAACUUAGCAGAUUGAGAGCGCUUGGAGAAGAAAACAUGCCCUAUCCCAUGUUUGGAGGUAUAUUUAGCACAACAACCUCAACUAAUCGCAGCCAUAUUUCCUCACUUCAAGUGAGUUAAUCAUCUUGCAGAUAAUUUUAAUUCAAUAAUUAAAGUCUAUUCAUUAGAGAACUUCACUUUUUUGUAAGAAUAAAACUCCUACUAAUUAAUUUCAUAGCAUUCUAAGGCCACCGUAACCUUUGCAAACUUUGUAUUCACGCCUAUAUUUGAUUAUCUACUCUCAGGAAGUGACGAUGAGUGAUGUACCAUCCGCAACUGAUAGCUCAAGCAUUUCAAGUUCAUCAUCAUAUGGAGGAAGAAGAUAAUAUUUUAUACAGGAUGCUACUACAAGCUUAUAGCGCUUGUGAUUGGAGCACCAAACUUGAUGAAACUAGUGGAAACUAGGAGUCCAACAGAAAAGAAGGGAAAUUACUAAGUCAAUUUUGUCAUGCUUGUGUUGUACUUAUUUUUAGUUUCAUCUCCACGAUACUCCAAUGGGUAAAGUUUCAGGUUUUCAGUAUUAAGUUUGACGUUUGAAUCUUAAUCAGGUCAGGAUUGCGGAAAGGGAGUUAAUGGAAAGGGGGGAGGCUACCCCUAGUUGUUUAGCUCACUAGUGUAUCAGGAAAAACCUUUUUGUUCCUUUCAUAUUUAAUGCAAUUGUGGUAGCAACUAUGAUUAGAUCUGGUUUGGUUGAUUUGUUGUAAUUAUAGAGACUGAGAAUUGACUGUAAAAUUGACUUCUUUCUUUCUGAAAAAUAGUUGAUGAUGCUGUGAGUAUGCCACAACCAAACAGAAAAUAG